rnacentral:rRNA from 1 species
UACAGAGGCCUCGAGCGUUAGGCGGAAUCACUGGGCUUAAAGCGUGUGUAGGCGGACUUCUAAGUACCUUGUGAAAUCCCACGGCUCACCCGUGGAACUGCUCGGUAUACUGGUCGUCUUGAGCCUUCUAGGGGCGAGUGGAACAAAUGGUGGAGCGGUGAAAUGCGUAGAGAUCCGGAAGAACACCGGUGGCGAAGGCGGCCUGCUGGGCAGUUGCUGACACUGAGGCGCGACAGCGUGGGGAGCAAACAGG